rnacentral:rRNA from 1 species
GACGUAGGGCGCGAGCGUUGUCCGGAUUUAUUGGGCGUAAAGAGCUCGUAGGCGGCUUGUCGCGUCGACUGUGAAAUCUCAGGGCUCAACCCUGAGCUUGCAGUCGAUACGGGCAGGCUAGAGUUCGGUAGGGGAGACUGGAAUUCCUGGUGUAGCGGUGAAAUGCGCAGAUAUCAGGAGGAACACCGAUGGCGAAGGCAGGUCUCUGGGCCGAUACUGACGCUGAGGAGCGAAAGCGUGGGGAGCGAACAGG